UUAAUAAUUUUCUAAGAUUUGUUACUACUUGACACAUUUUACCUCUGUAGAAGAGUAAGCUGGAUGUAGCAUUGGGCAGCAUGAAGAAAACUGUUGAUAUUCUCUUUACAUUUGGCAUGACUUAAAAGCCACGUUCAUAACAGUAAUGCAGAUAUUGCAGGAAUAGCCCAACUGGCAGAUCUUCUUUUUCUAUAUGAUAUAAUUAUUUAUAGUGUAAAAUCCACUUUUCUUCAUCUACGCAGAAUGUUAUUGUAAUGUUUUUUGUUUUCUCUUCACUAGUGCAACAUGUGGGGAAAAAAAAAAAGCUUUACCCAGACCCUUCUCUGUGCAGUCUGAGAAAGUGAGCUACAGAUGGAUUCCAAAGGCAUCGUUUCUCGUGGAUCAUUCUUCACUGCUCAGCAGGUUUGUCAAACAGCUCAUCUCCUGCAGAAUGUUGGGCCAAAACCUGUGAAGGCUGAAUUCUUGAACUUGUGAACUCAAUGACUGGUGCUGUGAUCUGCAGUAUUGUUUUCUUUAGUGAAACUAGCCAUCAUAACUGCGGGAGUAGAGUUAUUUGUCUGCAUCGGUUUGUGCAGAACUGAAGAAAGUAAAGUAAAGUUUGGAUAAAGACAGGAGAAAAAAAAUGUCAUCGGUUCUGGACACUAUACUCCGUUCAGUGAGGCUGCACCUUCUAACUUGAACGUUAUUUCUUUAGAGCCUCUUUUCAUAGGUGAGUCCAUCCUUGAGAAACACUGAGUGGCCUUUUAGAAACAUUAAAUUGUUUAAAGGAAGAAACAAAAGCAAGUACUGAAAACUGUGCCUCUUACAUAAAAGAAAUGCUAA